GAAAAACAAUAGGUAUAUAAUAAAUCAAAAAUUUUCCUUGACCCUUGAAUAAAUCUUGGUUGCGCCACUGCAAUGAACAAGAACAUUUGGAUGUGGUGAAAUAAUUGGAGGAUUUUGGUUACGGUGAAGAUUCUCAUUUUCGAACCUCUGGAAACGAUCUAUCAAAAUUCAUUUGGUUAGGCAACGGCCAAAAAUUCUGGUAUACAAAUUGGCUGAAAGGCAAAUCAAACAAUGUUCAAGACAAGCCAAAGGCAAUGAUGAAGAUUGAGUAGAGAAUUGGAAUAAAGAAUUGGAAGGUUUCAAAUGGAACAAUCAGUUUUCUUCUUUCAAAGCCAAUUUUAUAUGUGAAUUAAGCUAGACAAAAAACAAAUAAAAUUUUACAUGAUUAUUAUUUGAAAUGUUUAUUUUACAUAAAAAUUGUAUACACUGAUAGUGGUAAUUAAAUGAUUGAAAAAAAAACCAAUUUUAAAAUAUGAAUAUUACUUUAAACGUUGCCAAAUUAAUACAAAAUAAUAUUAAACACAAUUUAUUCCAAAAAUAUUUCAAGAAUAUAAAAAAAUUAUAAUUUGAUAAAAAUAAUUGUGUUUAAUUGAUUUUCAUAAAAUGGCAUAUAAUACUGAUAAAAAAUAUACAAUGGGUACACACUGCACAUUUAUAGUGAGUGUAGUUUCACCAAAAAAAAAAAUAA